CUACAGCAUGUGCAGGGACUGGCCACGGCAUGUUAAAGCACCCAAAGCCAAUAAAUUAUAACCUCAUUGCAUCAAUGGAGACACACCUGGACCACCAUCACCUCCACCUGUAGUAUCCACACGCCAAAACCAUCUUCUCUGACAUCAGGGCGAUUGACUUGCAGUGCUGACUGAGUUGUGCUGAGGCUGCAGCUGUUACCCACAGUAAUUUCUUCCAAAACCUGGACUGGCCCAGUGGUCCAUCAACCUUCACAGAUAUGGAAAGAAGACCAAGCCUGCAGCAACACCCAGAUCGUCCAAAAAGGACUUGUGAACACAAAUGAUUAUGCACAAAAAUAUCUUUCUUUCUUUUUUUUGUUAAAUAUUUGAAUGAACUGCAUGUACAACACUGAGUAAAAAUAAAUAGAAUACAUAGACAGCUCUUUUGUAUCUUAUCCCAAAAGUGAGCUCCGGGUGUUUGCCUCAGAUUAUUAAAAUAAUUAACUAUGAUGAGCUUGCCUCAUCAGUUACCUGCUGUGACAGUGGUGAGCAGGGAAUGAUGCAUAUUUAGUAAACUAUUUUUUAUAAUGCAAAUUAACUUCACUCUGCGGAAGUAUCUUUACUUUUUUAACUCACAUUGAAAAUAAAUGUGAUGAGUCAUGAGUCAUAAUUGACUGCACAUUGUCAAUAAUAAUGUUUUAUUUAUCUUUGGACAUUUGGCUCAGCGUGAAAAUAAAUGAGGAACAUUUUAUUCACUCUUCCUGUAAUUUUACCACAAGCAGACAUCGCUCUGCUGUACAUGGCCCUAAUGUCCUUAUGCACAACUAUAAAUUCACAAUUCACACAAGUCAUCUUACACCCUCUCAGGCCUCUAUGAAUGCAUGAACAGCACAUGACAGCACUACCUGUAAGUGGAGAAUAUAGUUGCUAUGUGGGGAGAUGGCGGUCGAGUGAGACGUCUUUCAACUGGAAGGCCGAGUGCUUGAGUCCUGGCUCAGCUAGCAUGUUGAUGUGUCCCUGGGCAAGUGGACAGUAGUAGGCAGUGAGAACAAAGGGCCUUUUGAGGGUUAGAUUCACGGUUAGGGUUAGGCAUUUAGUUAUGAUGGUUAAGGUUACGGUACAGGUAAGGGGGUGAGGGAAUGUCUAAAUGAAUGUCCUCACUUAAAGUGCUGUACAAGAGUGUGUAUUUUAUGUUUGUAUGGAACAGCUUUUUGUCAUUAGGGUCAAUUUAAACUAGUUUACUAGUCUAAAAUUCAUCAAAGCACUCUUCUCUUUGGGGAAACAGGAGGCCACACUAUAUAUACUGUACAUUGUGUAUUGUACAAUGGAUGUGUCAAAGCAGAAUUAUCAGUCUCUGUAGGUUUAGCCUUAGUCAAAUAAUCAAUAAAGCAGUGUAUGACAUCU